rnacentral:rRNA from 2 species
AGGUGCGAUCAUACCAGCAAUAAUGCGACGUAUCCCAUCAAAACUCCGCGAUAAAGUGUGCAUGUGCGAGAGUAGUACUAGGAUGGGUGACCUCCUGGGAAGUCCUUGUUUGCACCUC